GGCUGGUUAGAUGGUCGUGGGUUAUCAGAUCUUAUUAACAUCAGUGUCACUAAAGUUGGUAUACAGUCCCCUCCCCACUGCUACAUUUGACUGGCAUACA
rnacentral:Y_RNA from 1 species